rnacentral:rRNA from 1 species
AAAUCGAGUAGGGCGGGACACGUGAUAUCCUGUCUGAAUAUGGGGGGACCAUCCUCCAAGGCUAAAUACUCCUGACUGACCGAUAGUGAACCAGUACCGUGAGGGAAAGGCGAAAAGAACCCCUGUGAGGGGAGUGAAAUAGAACCUGAAACCGUGUACGUACAAGCAGUAGGAGCACCUUCGUGGUGUGACUGCGUACCUUUUGUAUAAUGGGUCAGCGACUUAUAUUCAGUGGCAAGGUUAACCGUAUAGGGGAGCCGUAGCGAAAGCGAGUCUUAACUGGGCGCUCAGUCUCUGGAUAUAGACCCGAAACCGGGUGAUCUAGCCAUGGGCAGGUUGAAGGUUGAGUAACAUCAACUGGAGGACCGAACCGACUAAUGUUGAAAAAUUAGCGGAUGACUUGUGGCUAGGGGUGAAAGGCCAAUCAAACUCGGAGAUAGCUGGUUCUCCCCGAAAGCUAUUUAGGUAGCGCCUCGGACGAAUACUACUGGGGGUAGAGCACUGUUAAGGCUAGGGGGUCAUCCCGACUUACCAACCCUUUGCAAACUCCGAAUACCAGUAAGUACUAUCCGGGAGACACACGGCGGGUGCUAACGUCCGUCGUGGAGAGGGAAACAACCCAGACCGCCAGCUAAGGUCCCAAAGUAUUGCUAAGUGGGAAACGAUGUGGGAAGGCUCAGACAGCUAGGAUGUUGGCUUAGAAGCAGCCAUCAUUUAAAGAAAGCGUAAUAGCUCACUAGUCGAGUCGGCCUGCGCGGAAGAUGUAACGGGGCUAAGCAAUACACCGAAGCUGCGGCAAUAUCUUUUAGAUAUUGGGUAGGGGAGCGUUCUGUAAGCCGUUGAAGGUGAAUCGUAAGGUUUGCUGGAGGUAUCAGAAGUGCGAAUGCUGACAUGAGUAACGACAAAGGGGGUGAAAAACCUCCUCGCCGGAAGACCAAGGGUUCCUGUCCAACGUUAAUCGGGGCAGGGUGAGUCGACCCCUAAGGUGAGGCCGAAAGGCGUAAUCGAUGGGAAACGGGUUAAUAUUCCCGUACUUCUGACUAUUGCGAUGGGGGGACGGAGAAGGCUAGGUGGGCCAGGCGACGGUUGUCCUGGUUCAAGUGCGUAGGCUUGAGAGUUAGGUAAAUCCGGCUCUCUCUAAGGCUGAGACACGACGUCGAGCUACUACGGUAGUGAAGUCAUUGAUGCCAUGCUUCCAGGAAAAGCCUCUAAGCUUCAGAUAGUCAGGAAUCGUACCCCAAACCGACACAGGUGGUCGGGUAGAGAAUACCAAGGCGCUUGAGAGAACUCGGGUGAAGGAACUAGGCAAAAUGGUACCGUAACUUCGGGAGAAGGUACGCUCUUGAUGGUGAAGUCCCUCGCGGAUGGAGCUGACGAGAGUCGCAGAUACCAGGUGGCUGCAACUGUUUAUUAAAAACACAGCACUGUGCAAAAUCGCAAGAUGACGUAUACGGUGUGACGCCUGCCCGGUGCCGGAAGGUUAAUUGAUGGGGUUAGCGCAAGCGAAGCUCUUGAUCGAAGCCCCGGUAAACGGCGGCCGUAACUAUAACGGUCCUAAGGUAGCGAAAUUCCUUGUCGGGUAAGUUCCGACCUGCACGAAUGGCGUAAUGAUGGCCACGCUGUCUCCACCCGAGACUCAGUGAAAUUGAAAUCGCUGUGAAGAUGCAGUGUACCCGCGGCUAGACGGAAAGACCCCGUGAACCUUUACUACAGCUUGGCACUGAACAUUGAACCUACAUGUGUAGGAUAGGUGGGAGGCUAUGAAGACGUGACGCCAGUUGCGUUGGAGCCGUCCUUGAAAUACCACCCUUGUAUGUUUGAUGUUCUAACUUAGACCCGUUAUCCGGGUUGAGGACAGUGCCUGGUGGGUAGUUUGACUGGGGCGGUCUCCUCCCAAAGAGUAACGGAGGAGCACGAAGGUGGGCUAAUCACGGUUGGACAUCGUGAGGUUAGUGCAAUGGCAUAAGCCCGCUUAACUGCGAGAAUGACGGUUCGAGCAGGUGCGAAAGCAGGUCAUAGUGAUCCGGUGGUUCUGUAUGGAAGGGCCAUCGCUCAACGGAUAAAAGGUACUCCGGGGAUAACAGGCUGAUACCGCCCAAGAGUUCAUAUCGACGGCGGUGUUUGGCACCUCGAUGUCGGCUCAUCACAUCCUGGGGCUGAAGUCGGUCCCAAGGGUAUGGCUGUUCGCCAUUUAAAGUGGUACGCGAGCUGGGUUUAGAACGUCGUGAGACAGUUCGGUCCCUAUCUGCCGUGGGCGUUGGAAGAUUGAAGGGGGCUGCUCCUAGUACGAGAGGACCGGAGUGGACGAACCUCUGGUGUUCGGGUUGUGUCGCCAGACGCAUUGCCCGGUAGCUAAGUUCGGAAUUGAUAAGCGCUGAAAGCAUCUAAGCGCGAAGCGAGCCCUGAGAUGAGUCUUCCCUGAUACUUUAAGUAUCCUAAAGGGUUGUUCGAGACUAGAACGUUGAUAGGCAGGGUGUGUAAGCGUUGUGAGGCGUUGAGCUAACCUGUACUAAUUGCCCGUGAGGCUUAACCA